GUGUGUGUGUGAAAAACUUUUCUGUCAAAAGUGUUUAUCAAGUGAUUGUCAAAGAUUAUGAAAAGUAUGCAAAAGUUUUGUGCAAAGUUAUUUUCAAAAACGUUUGAAUCAGCUUAUAUAUAUUCAAAGAAAACACCAGGACAAUCGAUUUCCUAAUCGAUUUCAUAAUGCAUUAAUCGAUUACCUAAUCGAUCAAAGAUUAUGAAAAGUAUGCAAAAGUUUUGUGCAAAGUUAUUUUCAAAAACGUUUGAAUCAGCUUAUAUAUAUUCAAAGAAAACACCAGGACAAUCGAUUUCCUAAUCAAUUUCAUAAUGCAUUAAUCGAUUGCCUAAUCGAUUUUCGCAGGUCUUGUUUUUCUUUAAUCUUGAAUCAUAUAAGCAUGAAUCGAUUU
rnacentral:lncRNA from 1 species